GCCUUCGUGGUGUUGUGGUCAGCACGUUCAACGCGUAACGAAAUGUCGGUGGUUCGAUUCCCGGCGAAGGCU
rnacentral:tRNA from 1 species